UGCCAGACUCCUACGGGAGGCAGCAGUGAGGAAUAUUGGUCAAUGGCCGGAAGGCUGAACCAGCCAAGUCGCGUGAGGGAAUAAGGCCCUAUGGGUCGUAAACCUCUUUUGUCAGGGAGCAAAGGCGUCCACGUGUGGACGAGAGGAGAGUACCUGAAGAAAAAGCAUCGGCUAACUCCGUGCCAGCAGCCGCGGUAAUACGGAGGAUGCGAGCGUUAUCCGGAUUUAUUGGGUUUAAAGGGUGCGUAGGCGGAGUGUCAAGUCAGCGGUCAAAUCGUGGGGCUCAACCCCAUCCAGCCGUUGAAACUGGGGAUCUAGAGUGUGCGAGAGGUAUGCGGAAUGCGUGGUGUAGCGGUGAAAUGCAUAGAUAUCACGCAGAACCCCGAUUGCGAAGGCAGCAUACCGGUGCACAACUGACGCUCAGGCACGAAAGCGUGGGUAUCGAACAGGAUUAGAUACCCGAGUAAA
rnacentral:rRNA from 1 species